UACGUAGGGGGCAAGCGUUGUCCGGAAUCAUUGGGCGUAAAGAGCGUGUAGGCGGUUCGGUAAGUCGGCUGUGAAAGUCCAGGGCUCAACCCUGGGAUGCCGGUCGAUACUGCCGGACUAGAGUUCGGAAGAGGCGAGUGGAAUUCCCGGUGUAGCGGUGAAAUGCGUAGAUAUUGGGAGGAACACCAGUGGCGAAGGCGGCUACCUGGACCGGUUCUGACGCUGAGGCGCGAAAGCGUGGGUAGCAAACAGG
rnacentral:rRNA from 1 species